AUCUCCACCUUGAUACGGAGUUUUCAAUCUAUCAGCAAAGCGAAGUCUGCUACCAUCAUGAAGCCGGAUAUAUAUGAUGUGAUAUAUAUCAGUUGGCAAGCCUGAUCGUUUCAAAGAGUUGGUGUGACCAUAAGUCAGGCGGUGUAAUCUUUUUGUCUCUGAUGGCUUAUAUGAACUUUACAUUACAGGUCCCCAACGGGCACGUACGUUGCGACAGAGGAAAUCCGGCACCACCGUUGCAGUCUGGGAGUAAAUAAAACUAAAUGGCCGGCCAGCCUUGAUUGUGAAGGUCAGGUUGCCGGCCAAACGCGUCCAGACACUCUUUGUCAAAUGCAUCUCGUCUUCAUCUUCGUUCUUCGCCGUGCAGCGCAGCGAUCAACGUGUAAAAAAUAAUAAUGAUACAAGAAAACAAACAAGCAAUGUGAACCCACACAGUUGAUUAGUCAACUGAUUAUCCAAAGGCUGCGACAUGCAUGGAAGAGGCUGUACUAUAAUUUUCCAUCUAUCACCCUUUUCACAGUGUGUUCCUGAAAGCCAACGGCGAUCAGCCUGUGACAUGGAAGAAGGCGUCCAUCAUGGUCAGGUCCCCAGUGGCCGGCCAGCUUUGAUUGCCACGACCAGGUUGCCGGCCGCGCGCAUGCAAGUCGCCUUCAUCACGUUUUCAUCUGCACCGUGCAUCGAUCAACUUGUAUAAAAUAGCGAUGAUCGUAUGGUCAGUUCCCGAAAGAGAGUGGCGAGGAGCCUAACAUGGAAGAGGGCCUCCAGCAUGGAGGAAGUCCUGAGGGAGGCCGCUGUGGUCGGUCAGCUACACAUAGAUACUAAAUGCAUAAAAUUGGCAUUGGGAUUUCAAAAUCCAGACCGAGAAGGCACAUCUGAGACGCGAAUCUUUGCUUCAGGCUCAUCUCAUUCCAGCUCGAGCGUCUUGAGCCGAGGCGAUCCAUGCUCCCCUAUAUGCUUACCAGCAAACAGGAGGGGGUUCUUACGGAGACGACGGCAGAGCUGGCGGUCUCGCUGUCGGUGGCAGCUGCCGGAGGAUCAUCGAGGCCGACCACUUUAUGAAGGCUGGCCUCUACUAUGGGUGGCUGCAGCACCUGUCAGUGCCACUGCUAGUAAAAUGAUUGUUCUUGUUAAUCUAUCUUGAUUUUGCAGCACAUAACUUAUGUAAAAGAGAAAUUAAUAACAUACAGAUUUGUUGGGAAGUUGCUCCAACUUCUGAACUCAGGGUUCAGGAUCUCCUCUCAUCUCAGCUCAUAAG